CGACCGCGGUAAACUUACCGCACUGAUUAUACUACGUACUGUUAUUAGUUUAGUUUAACUUACCGUACUGAUUAUACUGCGUACUGUUAUUAGUUUAGUUUAAGUCGCGUUUUCAUCAAAUCAUAUUGCUUUUCUAUCCAUGUUUUAAAUGUGGUAUAGGACUUACCUGCCCUUAUGUUAUUGUCUCGUUUAUGUCUAAAAUAGCUAGCUAAGAGUAAAGUCUCGCCGUGGAUGUUUACACCGAGUGGAAAAUUAACCGCUUGUAAACUCGUUACCUGUUGUUUACAAAUGAAGAAUGUUGUACAUAUGUCCAUUAUAAUGUGUCCAGGGUGUAACAUUUAUCCGUUCGGAGGACAAUAUAAAGACUACAACGUAUAACGUUAAGACGAGAAAUGGUGAAACUCUCACUUCCGUAUUGGGCGGAGCUUAUGUGAUGUCUGUUCCAUCACCCCACGAGAACACGCUCGGGGACCUUAAACGUGCACUUUUGUAUGUGGUUACCUCAUACAAACAUUAAUAGAAAAUACACUUUUGUAUGUAGUUAACUCAUAUAAACAUUCGUUAUUUUAUAACUCUUCAACGGAAUAUAUCAAUCUGAUUCAUUUUACCGCCAUGUGGUGAUACACUUCAAAGUCGAUCUUAGUGUAUUUGAAGGCAACACAAGACAGGUCUCUCAACUUGCGCAGAUUUAUGACGUAACUACUGACGCACUUGUUAUGCCCAUAUACGGAAAUGAGGUUUCUUUCCGUUGUCGUCCGCUCAUUGUCGAUGAGGGAAGUUACUUAAUUAAUGACAGAUAUAAAAUGACAGUAUCAGGGUGUGUCAGGAAUCCCGGGAAUUUUGUAUUCAACUUUGAAAUGGAACAUAAUUAUUAGUCAGAACAAUUUACUGACAGUUUGAGAUGGAAAUGAACCCAUUUAUGACCCCCAUUUUCAUUUACAGCCACCCUUUAGGAGUCUAUAAAAGUAAUUAACAGAGUGUUCCAUUAAGUAGAAUUAGUGGGGAUCCUCCGUGGCUUGUCUGAACGUUUUGUCUGGCUGUGCCGACCUGCAUCUGCCUAAUUGGGAUCUUUUUAAUCAGGUCAGCUUUAGCUACAUUUCCUGUUCCUGCACUUGCAUUAGAGAUUGUAAUAUAUUUUUACAACAAUAAAAUGACACAAUGGCAUUUUCUGCUGACAUUUUUAAUUAAAAUACGAAUUUAUCCACAGAUUAAAAAUGAAAGGCAGAAAAAAAGCAAAAUGUAGCUACAAUCAGGCACCAAUAAUACAUGUUAUGUUGUUAUUUGUUUUUUUAAAACAAUUGCGAUAACGCAACAAUAACAUUAUUUAAUAUUUAUUCAACUGAAGACAGAAAUAGGGCCGAGGGAGGGAAAUUAAUUUUCCAUUAUGAUUCUAUUGGAUAUGCCUCUCAUAAAUGGGAGCUUUGGAAAAAGGCAACAAAGAAAUAAAUCCAAAAAAGUGGGCUGUUUUUGGGGGUGAAUUUAAGAUAAUUUAAGCGCAAAAGUAAAUUGUAUUGAAAAAAAAAAAAAAAAGCAAGUUGUGACAUGGUGACGCAUCAUCUGUCAUGGGAAGAAGGAGUGUAAGAGUUAAGACAUCCCACCGUGGCGGCGGCGGACAUGGCUUGGCGAGACCUUCCGGCACUUGUGAUUUGGAGUUGUUACGGCAGGGUGGUGGUGUGAGGGGGGGCUGUAGCGCUAGUCAUGAGUCUUUGGAGUCUUUGUUUGAGCCGAGUGUUGCAAAAAAAACAACAAAAAAAUGAAAUAUUUAGCGACUUCACCAGUUUUUUUUUUUUUAAGGUCCAGGUGAUAAGAAGCGGAGCGUGCAGAUCUCUCACUCGGCCUGAGAUUUGAAACCAAAAGAAAAAAAGCACUGGAAGGCGAGGAGAAACCCUGACACUGCACACUAGACGUCCCUGCCCCAGUCGUCCUGGUUCUUGUUGCGGCCCUUGCCGGCCCCCGUGUCAACCGGGUCCUGGCAGUAGCGCUCCCUCAGCUUGGCGCGCCCGUGAAUCUGCCCCUGGCUCGGCGCCGGAGCCUGGUUGAGGUUCUCCUGAUCCGGCUCGGCGCCCUCGUCCUCCCAGGAGGCCUGGCGCCCGUGGUGUUGCGCCAGGUGCAGACGGCUCCCGCCGCCGCCACCGCCGCCGCCUCCUCGGUAGGGCUCCGGUUCUUCAUAGGGGUCGGUUUCAAUGUCCAUGCAGGAGUCGCCCGCUUCGGUGUAGGCCGAGUCCCGGCUCCCUUGUGUCUCUGAGUCAAAGGUGUCUUGUCUGGAUAGGCCCCGCCCACUUCCUGCUCUCAGCUGGCCGCGGGAGGAGCGAAGGUACGCUUGCUGCUGCUGCUGCUGCUGUUGCUGAGGUUUCCCUCCCAGGUCGCCGUGGUAGUCAUGUAGGGGGCCGCUCCCGCCGCUGUCCGUGCCUUCCCGCUUGGGGGGCUCACUGUGCACCAAGUUGGGGCCCUACAGCAAGUCCAGGCCAUGCAAAGACACAAACCAUGGGGGCGGUGCCAUGGCAACAACGGGGGAGGACGGCAAGCCGGAGAGAGGAGGGUGAAACAAAAGUGGCGGAGGACGGAGGCCACGGAGCGAACGAAAGAGGGCAGGAGAUGAUGACAUCAAGAAGAAGGGGUGGCGGCGCCUUCGAGGGGGGCGGGGGGGGGGGGGGGGUUGCUCCGGAAGUCCAGAUUUAGGUGUUAUGAACGCUGGAGGACAGAUUCUGCCGUGGGCGGUCACGUACGGAGGCGACAUGGUGUUCUCCCUCCCUCCUUCCUUCCCCCGUUUGUGUUCACGUCCGCGAGAGUCAGUGGCCGGGCGGACUCAGAGGGCGUGUUCGUCCUCUUUGCCCUCAGCCCCCGCCACCGCCGUCGUCCCGUCCAUGUCGGGCCACGGAUCCAUGUUCCUGCGCAGGGAGGUGAGCACCUGUACCUGCAGGUUGGAGACGGGCUCGGGCGAGGCGGCCAGCGCCGCCGUGGCCAUGGUGCGGUUGAGCAGGGGGUUGGGCGGAUUGCUGCUCGGGGGGUGGGUGGCCUUCCAGUAGGCCUCCAGGUAGUCGGCCAGGUGCUCGCAGGCGUCUUCCAGUUGGUUCUCGUCCAGGAUGAUGUCAAACAGUUCCUGCGGGGCGAAGAAGCAAAGUAGCAUUUACCAGAACCGAGGCUUAAAAAUAAAGCUAACGUUAGCUCAAAGUGAUGCUUUUUGUCUUGAAUUAUUAUGGCAAUUGUUCAUUUUCUGCCUAGCAACAGGCGCUAUGCAAACGUGUAAAGCAGGGGUCUCAAACUCUAUUUACUUGGGGGCCACUGGAGCUCGGGUCUGGGUGAGACUGGGCCGCAUCAGGUUUUCCAAAAAAAAAACAAACGCAUUUAUUAAAAACAAAAAUUUUGGUUCCAAUUUUCUACAAUAAAAGCUCUGAUAAAACAUUCCACUGUUCUCAAAUAUCUUAAUUUUGAAAAAAAAAAAAAAAAAUCUUAAUUUUUAUUUUUCUACACAAAAUAAGAUGAAAAAUAAACAAACAAAUCAAGAAUAAAGAAAUCAAUCAGUAAUAAAUAAAUAUAAUAAUAAUAAAAUAAAAAAUAAUAGACAAAUUAUUUUUUUCAGAUUAAAAUGAACAAAGCAUUAUUAGAGCCCUGUAGACAUGACAAAACACGACUAUAGUCACAUUUAUACUCUUUUUAUUUACAACAUAUUGCGCAACUGCAGGGUCUUGAGACACAUGCUAACUCGCUAACUAGACAGCUAGCGACCUAAACGGUAGCCUUCCAAGUUAUUUCCUUUAAACUUAAAUAGCCAAAAACUUACCACUUCCACACGGAUAGGGAGGAUAACUAUUAACAGUUAUUUAACCUUUAACAUGAACAUUAAUCAAAGGUAAUAAUUUUUUUUUCUGGGUACAUGAUACCAUACAGCAUCCAUAUCAAACUUGCGCGGGCCUGCACUAACAUUAAACUUUCAUAUCAAGGCGGGGGCCUCAAACUAGUGUCCUUGUUAUUUACAACAUAUUGCGCAACUGCAGGGUCUUGAGACACAUGCUAACUCGCAAACUAGAGAGCUAGCGGCCUAAACGGUAGCCUUCAAGUUAUUUCCUUUAAACUUAAAUCGCCAAAAACUUACCACUUCCACACGGAUAGGGAAGAUAACUAUUAACAGUUAUUUAACCUUUAACAUGAACAUUAAUCAAACGUAAUCAUUUUUUUCUGGGUACAUGAUACCAUACAGCAUCCGUAUCAAACUUGACAUUAAACUUUCAUAUCAAGGCGGGGGCCUCAAACUAAUGUCCUGUGGGCCACAUUUGGCCCACGGCCCGCAUGUUUGAGACCCCUGGUGUAAAGUGACCAGGAAAAUGAAUCCAAGCACUUCUCUUCAUCUAGCUUGCUACGCCUUGUCGCUAGCUAUCAUUUCCUUCUACUUGUGUCAGUCUAUCACAGUUUCAAAAUAAACAGGAAGUUGUCACUCACAGGGGGGCAUUGAGCCAACUUGUCGGCCGCCACCAUCUGCACGUUGAGAUGUUUGGCUUGGGAUUUCCCUCUGGAUUUGAUGAGCCUCUGCAGAACCUGGAAAAAGCAAUGAAAAUGUUCUAGAAACGUACCAAAAUGGUUCCCUGUUAAAAAGUCUGUCCCCAGCUAUACCUUAGGUGAGGCUAUUUUGAUGUAGACGAUGAUGGGCGCCAGCGAGGUCUUAGCCAGCUGGGACGGGUGGUUGAUGGUGUCGGCAUCCAGAGCCACCAGCUGCAGCGUGCGGGCCAGCUCGAAGAUGCGUUCAAUCUCGCUCUGGACCUCAGCUGGGGACGGGCGGAAGACAGGUGAGAAGGUGAAAUGACACGCAAAAAAAAAAAAUCUUCGAAAUGCCAGGUUAGU